GAUGAACGCUAGCGGCAGGCUUAACACAUGCAAGUCGAGGGGUAUAGUUCUUCGGAACUAGAGACCGGCGCACGGGUGCGUAACGCGUAUGCAAUCUACCUUUUGCAGAGGGAUAGCCCAGGGAAAUUUGGAUUAAUACCUCAUGGUAUGUGAGAAUAGCAUCAUUUUCACAUUAAAGUCACAACGGCAAAAGAUGAGCAUGCGUCCCAUUAGCUUGUUGGUAAGGUAACGGCUUACCAAGGCAACGAUGGGUAGGGGUCCUGAGAGGGAGAUCCCCCACACUGGUACUGAGACACGGACCAGACUCCUACGGGAGGCAGCAGUGAGGAAUAUUGGACAAUGGGCGCAAGCCUGAUCCAGCCAUGCCGCGUGCAGGAUGACGGUCCUAUGGAUUGUAAACUGCUUUUGUACAGGAAGAAACACUGGUUCGUGAACCAGCUUGACGGUACUGUAAGAAUAAGGAUCGGCUAACUCCGUGCCAGCCGCCGCUGUAAUAC
rnacentral:rRNA from 1 species